GGCUGGGUGGCUCAGUGGUUAGAGCCUAUGGCUUGGGAGCAAAAGGUCACGGGUUCGAAUCUUGCGAGAGGUA
rnacentral:tRNA from 1 species